GACGAACGCUGGCGGCGUGCUUAACACAUGCAAGUCGAACGGAAAGGCCCUGCUUGCAGGGUACUCGAGUGGCGAACGGGGGAGUAACACGUGGGUGUUCUGCCCUGCACUUCGGGAUAAGCCUGGGGAACUGGGUCUAUUACCGGAUAGGAGCCAUCUUUAUGGUGAUGGUUGGAAAGUUUUUUCGGUGUAGGGUGAGCUCGCGGCCUAUCAGCUUGGUGGUUGGGUAAUUGCCUACCAAGGCGGCGACGGGUAGCCGGCCGGGGUGGGUGGACGGCCAACAUGGGACCUAGAUACGGCCCAGACUCCCACGGGAGGCAGCAGUGGGGAAUAUUGGACAAUGGGGGCGAGCCUGAUGCAGCGAAGCCGCGUGGGGGAUGACGGCCUUCGGGUUGUAAACUCCUUUCGCUAGGGACGAAGCUUUUUGUGACGGUACCUAGAAAAGAAGCACCGGCUAACUACGUG
rnacentral:rRNA from 1 species